GUCUCGGUAGUCUAAGAGGUAGACCACGGUGCCCGAAAAGCACAGGUACGGGUUCGAGUCCCGUCCGAGAUU
rnacentral:tRNA from 1 species